AGACCUCACUGUCUUGCGUUUGCUGUUUAAAGGGCAAGGAACAGAGACUGUUUUAUCUUGCUGCAUAAGCAGGCAUGGGCAGACUUUAACACUGCAGCUGAAAGCACUUUUCUAUCCCUUUUAAUCAGUAGAGGUUAUGUAGAGCUGUGGAGGGGGCGUUUAAUGUUACAUAGACCACAGCCAUGCAAAGCAGCAGCUUGAGCCCAAAACAGGUUUAGGUUUUUCUGUAUGUAAUGAGAGCCCCCCGUGCUAGAAGCAGAGACUUCUUGGGGGCUCUGUAUCUGUUGGGUCUAAGCUCACAUCUUCCUGGAGAUCCUAGAGCUGUGACUCGAGAGUCAAAAUGGGAAGCCUGUUCGUGGUGUCACUGAAGUGAGCUCUUUUCCACUGGGAAGAAGAAAUUUCACUGCAAUUCAGACAUGUUCCUAACAUAGUGGUCUACAGCAAACUCAGAGGUGCCAAGCCCCGCCAGCCCGAGACUUCAACCAGAGGAAUAACCAUGGUGCAGCAGACAGGCAUCCAGCCUCAGCCCACGCCUCCCUGCUGCUUCCCUGCCAGAGGAAGAAGAUCCCCAGGUGAGAUGUUCACCGCUGCCCCGGGACUCCUCUUCUGACGCUCCAACCUCCGGUAUGAUCCAAAUGCUGAGAAAGGCAAAGUUCUAAAGAAGUUUUAAAAAAGAAAGAUGGAAGGAUUUAACAGCUCCUAUACAACAAAAUAAGAGCAUGCUGGCCAAAAGCCUGCUCUUCUUUUCAGGGAAUUACCAACAGGCAGAUUACAAUGAUCACCUUCUAAAUUAUAGUAACCAACCACAUUUUCUG